rnacentral:rRNA from 1 species
GUGCCAGCCGCCGCGGUAAUACCGGCAGCUCAAGUGAUGUCCCAUAUUAUUGGGCCUAAAGCGUCCGUAGCUGGCCGACCAAGUCUAUCGGGAAAUCCACCUGCCCAACAGGUGGGCGUCCGGUAGAAACUGGCCGGCUUGGAACCGGAAGGCUCAGAGAGUACGUCCGGGGUAGGAGUGAAAUCCCGUAAUCCCGGACGGACUACCGAUGGCGAAAGCACUCUGAGAAGACGGCUUCGACAGUGAGGGACGAAAGCUCGGGUCUCAAACCGGAUUAGAUACCCGAGUAGUCC